GAUGUGGGGGGCGUGCUUACCAUGCAGUCGAACGAAGCACUCUUUUAGAUUUCCUUCGGGGAAGAAGAAAUUGUGACUGAGUGGCGGACGGGUGAGUAACGCGUGGGCAACCUGCCUUACACAGGGGGAUAACAGUUAGAAAUGACUGCUAAUACCGCAUAAGACCACAGUACUGCAUGGUACAGUGGUAAAAACUCCGGUGGUGUAAGAUGGGCCCGCGUCUGAUUAGGUAGUUGGCGGGGUAACGGCCCACCAAGCCGACGAUCAGUAGCCGACCUGAGAGGGUGACCGGCCACAUUGGGACUGAGACACGGCCCAGACUCCUACGGGAGGCAGCAGUGGGGAAUAUUGCACAAUGGGGGAAACCCUGAUGCAGCGACGCCGCGUGAGCGAUGAAGUAUUUCGGUAUGUAAAGCUCUAUCAGCAGGGAAGAAAAUGACGGUACCUGACUAAGAAGCCCCGGCUAACUACGUGCCAGCAGCCGCGGUAAUACGUAGGGGGCAAGCGUUAUCCGGAUUUACUGGGUGUAAAGGGAGCGUAGACGGCUGUGCAAGCCAGAUGUGAAAGCCCGGGGCUCAACCCCGGGACUGCAUUUGGAACUGUGUGGCUGGAGUGUCGGAGAGGCAGGCGGAAUUCCUAGUGUAGCGGUGAAAUGCGUAGAUAUUAGGAGGAAC
rnacentral:rRNA from 1 species